CAAUAGCGUAUAUUUAAGUUGUUGCAGUUAAAAAGCUCGUAGUUGGAUUUCGGUUAAGAGCGACCGAUCCGCCGUUUGGUGUGCACUGGUUGGUUUUAACUUCCUGUAGAGGACGUGCUCUGGGUUUAACGACCUGGACUCGGAGUCUACGUGGUUACUUUGAAAAAAUUAGAGUGUUCAAAGCGGGCUUACGCUUGAAUAUUUCAGCAUGGAAUAACACUAUAGGACUCCUGUCCUAUUUCGUUGGUCUCGGGACGGGAGUAAUGAUUAAGAGGAACAGUUGGGGGCAUUCGUAUUUCAUUGUCAGAGGUGAAAUUCUUGGAUUUAUGAAAGACGAACUUCUGCGAAAGCAUUUGCCAAGGAUGUUUUCAUUAA
rnacentral:rRNA from 1 species